GGUGUCGUCCUCCAUCUGCGGCGGCGUCGUCGUCCUUGGCGGCGUGAGCGUCCAUCGUCGUCAUCGUCCGUCGUCCUUGGUCUGCGCUGCACUGCUCUGUGCUGGUCAUGCGUCUGCUCUACUCUGCUUCCCACUGGUGGUGUGUCGCUUCCGUCGCGUUCCCUCGCCGUGGAUCGCUACGCCGCUACUCGCGUCGCCACACCUCGCCGCACCAUGCCUUGCUGCCUGAAGUCGAUCUGCCAAAACAGGCUUUGCCUCAGGAUUUCUUUCGGGGUGGAGGUCGAGAUGGAGAAAGCUUAAACUAUCUUGGUCGCUUAUUGAUGAAGUUAAGAUCAGAGUUUCUUGGCGAGUCGUCAUCAUCGUGCGAACAAUUGAAAUUUUUAACAGUGCGUUUUAUGUCUUCCUAUUUCUGAAACAAUUUAUCUCUGUUCUUCAUCUUUUGUUUUUUGGUAUACAAGUGACGUCUUCUAAACUCGAACUGGCUUUACAUGUAUUUUGUUUGCAGUGAUGCUAAAAUUAGCUAUAUCUCUAUUGUAACUUAAGCUCAUCUGCUUUGCCCAUGUUGUAGUAUACGUCAUGGAUGUUUAGGAUAAUGAGUUGUAUAAUGAGUUGUGGUUUUGGCAUGUUCAUCUUUUAAUUCAUUUAUCAAUAUGAUGUGUCAAAUUUGUGU